rnacentral:rRNA from 1 species
AGAUUAAGAUAAUAAGGGCGCAUGGUGGAUACCUUGGCACUGACUGCCGAUGAAGGACGUGGCUAGCUGCGAUAAGCUUCGGGGAGUUGCUAAUAACUUUGAUCCGAAGAUUUCCGAAUGGGGAAACCCUGUUAGAGUAAUGUCUAACAACAACUAUCUGAAUAAAUAGGAUAGUUGAGAAAACCAGGUGAAUUGAAACAUCUUAGUAGCCUGAGGAAUAGAAAUCAACCGAGAUUCUCCUAGUAGCGGCGAGCGAACGGGGAACAGCCUAAACCGAAUAUGUGUUAGUAGCUUGCAGGUGCUGUAUAUUCGGGGUCGUGAGACUCAACGUGGUAGAUCUGCAAAUCUAUCAAGAAGUCAAAAAUGAUUAAGCUAGUAGAAAUGAGCUGGAAAGCUCUGCCAUAGCGGGUGAUAGCCCCUUAUACGAAAGUUUAGUCACUUCUAGUUAAGUUCUCGAGUAGCAUGGGACACGAGAAAUCCCGUGUGAAUCUGGGGGGACCACCCUCCAAGGCUAAAUACACGUCAGUGACCGAUAGUGAACCAGUACCGUGAGGGAAAGGUGAAAAGAACCCCGAGAGGGGAGUGAAAUAGAACAUGAAACCGUGUGCCUACAAACAACAGGAGUCUCGUUUAGCGGGAUGACUGUGUGCCUAUUGAAGAAUGAGCCAACGAGUUACGGUUAGUAGCAAGGUUAAGGUUUAUGCCGGAGCCAUAGCGAAAGCGAGUCUGAACAGGGCGUUCAGUUACUAGUCGUAGACCCGAAACUGGGUGAUCUAUCCAUGAGCAGGUUGAAGCACGUUUAAGAGCGUGUGGAGGACCGAACCAGUUGAAGUUGAAAAUUCUUUGGAUGACUUGUGGAUAGCGCAGAAAUUGUAAUCGAACCCAGAAAUAGCUGGUUCUCUCCGAAAUGCCUUUAGGGGCAGCCUCGGACGAAUCUUGACGGAGGUAGAGCACUGUUUGAGCUAGGGGCCUCACCAAGGUUACCAAACUCUUGCAAACUUCGAAUGCCGUUAAGUAAUAUCCGGGAGUGAGACUGCGAGGGAUAAGCUCCGUAGUCAAAAGGGAAACAGCCCAGACCAUCAGCUAAGGUCCCAAAAUAUAUGCUAAGUGUGAAAAGAUGUGAGGAUACUCAGACAGCCAGGAGGUUGGCUUAGAAGCAGCCAUCCUUUAAAGAAAGCGUAACAGCUCACUGGUCGAGUGUUCUCGCGCUGAAGAUGUACCGGGGCUCAAGCAUAUUACCGAAGCUAUGGAUCACAUAUUUAUAUGUGGUGGUAGGAGAGCGUUCUAUUGUAGGUUGAAGUCAAUUUGGAAAAAUUGAUGGACGAAAUAGAAGUGAGAAUGUUGGCACGAGUAACGAAAAAAUAAGUGAGAAUCUUAUUCGCCGAUAGUCUAAGGUUUCCUGGGCAAGGUUCGUCCCCCCAGGGUAAGUCGGGCCUAAGAUGAGGCCGAAGGGCGUAAUCGAUGGACAACAGGUUAAUAUUCCUGUACUACCAUACUUUGUUUGACGAUGGAGUGACACAGGAGGAUAGACUAGCCACUUAUUGGAUUGUGGUGUAAGCAUGUAGGGAGAGAGAAUUGGCAAAUCCGUUCUCUUGUUAAUCCUGAGGUGUGAUGCCGAGCCCUUUUGGGUGAAGUAGUUGACUCCACACUGGCGAGAAAAACUUCUAAGGAGAAGUAUGGUAUCCGUACUAAAACCGACACAGGUAGACAAGUAGAGAAUACUAAGGCGCGCGAGAUAACCCUCGUUAAGGAACUCGGCAAAAUAACUCCGUAACUUCGGGAAAAGGAGUGCCACAUUAGGGUGAGAACUUUUACAGUUUUAGCCUGAAGUGGUUGCAGUGAAAAGUCCCGGGCGACUGUUUAUCAAAAACACAGGUCUCUGCUAAACCGUAAGGUGAUGUAUAGGGGCUGACGCCUGCCCAGUGCUGGAAGGUUAAGAGGAGGUGUUAGGCGCAAGCCGAAGCAGCGAAUCGAAGCCCCAGUGAACGGCGGCCGUAACUAUAACGGUCCUAAGGUAGCGAAAUUCCUUGUCGGGUAAGUUCCGACCCGCACGAAAGGCGUAACGAUCUGGGAGCUGUCUCAACGAGGGACUCGGUGAAAAUGGAUUAUCCGUGAAGAUACGGAUUACCCGCAGCAGGACAGAAAGACCCCGUGGAGCUUUACUGUAGCUUGACUUUGACUUUUUGGAUAUCACGUGCAGGAUAGGUGGGAGGCUUUGAGACCGGGACGUCAGUUCCGGUGGAGCCAUCCUUGAGAUACCACCCUUGAUAUUUAGGAAUUCUAACGUUUGCCAUUAUCUGGUAAGCGGACAUAGUUUGGUGGGCAGUUUGACUGGGGCGGUCGCCUCCUAAAAAGUAACGGAGGUGCUCAAAGGUUCCCUCAGGACGAUUGGAAACCGUCUGUAGAGUGUAAGGGCAUAAGGGAGCUUGACUGCGAGACGGACAUGUCGAGCAGGGACGAAAGUCGGACCUAGUGAUCCGGUGACUCCGCGUGGAAGGGUCAUCGCUCAACGGAUAAAAGUUACCCCGGGGAUAACAGGCUUAUACUUCCCAAGAGUUCACAUCGACGGAAGUGUUUGGCACCUCGAUGUCGGAUCGUCAUAUCCUGGAGCUGGAGCAGGUUCCAAGGGUUGGGCUGUUCGCCCAUUAAAAUGGUACGCGAUCUGGGUUCAGAACGUCGUGAGACAGUUUGGUCCAUAUCCGCUGUGGGCGCAGGAAACUUGAGGGGAGCUGUUCUUAGUACGAGAGGACCGGAAUGGACAGUCCAAUGGUGUACCGGUUGUUCCGCCAGGAGCAAACGCCGGGUAGCUACGACUGGCACGGAUAAGCGCUGAAAGCAUCUAAGCGCGAAGCCGACCCCAAGAUUAGGUUUCCCAUCCCUUUAUGGGAGUAAGACCUCUGGAAGACUACCAGGUUGAUAGGUCAGAGGUGUACGCACAGUAAUGUGUUUAGCUGACUGAUACUAAUUGGUCGAGGUCUUAAUCUAUU